UCGUUUAAUAUUUUCAUUAGAUUCUGAGCUUUGUUAUGUAUAAGGAAGAAAGAUAUGCCUCUUCUUUCAGCAGCAAGAUACAUUCUUGUUAGCUUUGUUCUGGAGGCAAAUAU
rfam:Brassica napus, WGS project CCCW01000000 data, contig: 4028